UUCGGUAAGCACCCGUUUUAUAAAGCGGCAGUUAUUUCCCAACAGUAUCAGUUUUUUAGGAACCGGUUUGCCUGGUUUUACUACAACCGUCUCACACCAAAAAAGAAAAACAUCACGACGGGCGGUGGCGAGCUGUGCUCAACUCCACGUACACGCGCACACACACAGGGCCAUGUAAGCUCUCCGUGGUGAGAAUGAUGAGUAUCGACAGGACGAGAACCCCGGCCCCUGUCGGUCCCCUGCCCACCAUUACCGCUCUGCCCAUAGCAGCCUGCAGUCUGAAUGCAUAAUGCUUGCUUCCUGGCCGGCUGAUUCAACCUGUACCGUGGAAAUAAAAAGAAAGGCAACCCUUCAUCUCUUCGAGAUACAGUCCGCGGGUGGUGUCUUCCUGAGGAUUUUUUCUUCUUUUCUUCUCUUUUCUUUUGGCUUAUCGCUCAAUAGUCCAGUGGUUUGUGACAAACACACUAUGGAGAUGUUGGGCAGAAGAACAGGACAGCUUAAGUAUCCGAGGGUCUGUGGUUUUGUGGAAGGAAACGUGGUUUCUAC